GGUUUUUCCGAUCAGUGUUCAGAUUGAACGUCAUGACGCUUCAUACAUGCAAGUCGAACGGCAGCACGGACUCCCUGGUCUGGUGGUGAGGGGGAAGAACGGGUGAUAAUGUAUCGGAACGUGCCUAGUAGUGGGGAUAACUACGCGAAAAGAAGGCAUUACUGCAUACGCCCUUCGGGGAAAGGGGGACCCGGGCCUGCAUUAGAGCGGGCUGAUAUCGGAUUAGCUAGUUAGUGGGGUAACGGUCACCGUAGCGACGAUCCGGUAGCUGGUUUCCGAGGACGACCAGCCACACUGACUGAGAGAUGCGCCCAGACUUCCUACGGAGGCGCAGCAGUGGGAAUGGAUAAUGGGGAAACUCUGAUCCAGCCAUCUCUGGCGUAAAGUGAUGAAGUACUCGGGUUGUAAAAGCACUUUGGCAGGAAAGAAACGGCACGGAUAAUACCCUUGUGCAACUGACAUCAGAAUAAGCACCGGCUAACUACGCGCCGCCGCAGCCGCGGUACGUAGGGUGCAAGUGAAAGACCGUGGAAUUAUUAUGCAAAAGUGCGUAAGGUGUCUGGAAAGAAAGAUGUGAAACUCUAGAGCUUAACUUUCUUGAACUGCAUUUUUAACUACCGAGCUAGAGUGUCGAGGGAGGUGGAAUUCCGCGUAGCAGUGAAACGCAGAUAUGCGAGGAACACCGAUGGCGAAGGUCUUCCCGGGAUAACACUGACGCUCAGGAUCGAAAGGUGGGGAUAAAACAGGAUUGUGAUAAUUCGGUAGUCCACGCCCCAAACGAUGUCAACUAGUUGCUAGCCUUGGCCUUUGGUAGCGUAGCCAACGCGUGAAGUUGACCGCCUGGGGAGGCAAGGGCUUAUGAUUAAACCCGCGACUGACGGGGACUCGUAAUGCUGGUGACGAUGUGGAUUAAUUGAUGCAAACGCUGAAAACUCACCUACCCUUGACAUGUCUAAAUCCCGAAGAGAUUUGGGAGCGUUUGUAAGAGAACUUCGGAACAAUAAGGUGCCAUGGUUGUUGCCGCUUGAAGUCGUGAGAUGUUGGGUUAAGUCCCGCAACGAGCGCACUCCUUGUCAUUAGUUGCUACGAAACAAGCACUCUAAUGAGACUGCCAGAUAAACUGAGGAAGGUGAUGACGUCAAGUCCUCAUGGCCCCUAUUAAGUGCGGGUGGGGGCUUUCACGCCAUACAAUGGUCGGGACAGAGGGUCGCCAACCUGCGGAGCUAAUCCUAGAAACCUGAUCGUAGUCCGACUGCAGGGCCCGCAACUCGACUGCGUGAAGUCGGAAUCGCCAGUAAUCAGAUCAGCAUGCCGUGGUGAAUACGUUCCGGGCCUUGCGGGCCGACACCGCCCGUCACACCAUGGGAGUGGGUUUUACCAGAAGAAGAGAUCGAACUGUAAGAGGCGAUUACCACGGCAGAUCUUAUGAUUGUAGCGUCAGCAAUGGCAGA
rnacentral:rRNA from 1 species